rnacentral:rRNA from 1 species
UACGGAGGGUGCAAGCGUUAUCCGGAUUCACUGGGUUUAAAGCGUGCGUAGGCGGCUGCGCAAGUCGGGUGUGAAACCCCGGGGCUCAACCCCGGAACUGCAUCCGAUACUGCGUGGCUAGAGGUAGGUAGGGGAGAUCGGAAUUCCUGGUGUAGCGGUGAAAUGCGCAGAUAUCAGGAGGAACACCGGUGGCGAAGGCGGAUCUCUGGGCCUUACCUGACGCUCAGGCACGAAAGCUAGGGGAGCGAACAGG